rnacentral:rRNA from 1 species
UACGAGUGCUCCAAGCGUUAUCCGGAAUCAUUGGGCGUAAAGGGUGUGUAGGUGGUUGUGUUAGUCUUGUGUUAAAUUCUUCGGCUUAACCGGGGACAUGCACGGGAAACGGCAUAACUAGAGGAUGCGAGAGGCAAAUAGAACUCAUGGAGUAGGGGUGAAAUCCGUUGAUAUCAUGGGGAAUACCGAAAGCGAAGGCAAUUUGCUGGCGCACUCCUGACACUGAGACACGAAAGCGUAGGUAGCGAAUGGG